GACAGGAUGUGCAUUUUAAAAGUCGCUAGAGUCUGAGCGUCAGGAGGCUGCUGAGCACAUAGUUAGUGACCGCUGAGCCCCCUGGGACGGGGCUGCGCUCUCCUGGCUCUCUGGGGGCCAGCCGGGGGCCCUGCCACACCUGGGAGGUGAGCAGAGGCUCCAAAACGGCUCUCCUCCCCACUGCCGUCGCCGCAGGACCCUCCGCCACCGCGUGUUCCGAGCCCUGCCGUCCAGGCCGAGGAUGACCCGGGGCAGGAGGAGGCCAUCACUGCCAUCCAGUCCAUCCUCCGGGCGCACCUGGCACGGGUCAGGCACAGUGCCUCCAGUCAGAGAACUGCCACUGCAGCUUCCAGGAGGAGAGCCGCUCUGGCCGCCCCCCGCCAGCCACCAGCUGCGUCCUGCCCUGCUUCCCCUGGUCAAGGGGACAGCGAUGCGAGCAGCGGGGAGACCGUGGAGGGCCCAGCGGCCGAGGAUGUGGCGCCGGGGCCGUGGGGGCUGGGGAAGCCCGCAGCCCUGCAGCCCUGCUCUGGGCCGUCCUCUCCCUCGGGACCGCGACCGCAGCCACAGCCCACGGAGCCUCCACCCGCAGAUGACGGCAGCUCGGACGACUCGGAUGAGAUUGUCGUCGCUCCGGCGCUACCCGCGAGGAAGACCGCCUCCCCGCCGUAGGCCCUGGCCCUGGGCCCUCACGCCGCGCCGGCUCUGCCGGGGAGCUCAGGGUUCGGAGGACGAGGCACGUUCUAGAGGACAUAGUGGCCAGAAUUGGAAAGUAAUUCGUCUCGUUAGGGAAGAACUAGCUACCCCACAGCUCCGCGCUCUCUUUGGCUUUUCUCUGUGGUUUGGUUUUGUCGCUUGUCUGGUUGUUUGUGUAGGAAUCCUGAAGCCUUUGCUUCAUCUCUGGGCUGGUUUUCAGGGUCAGCCGGACAGACGCAUGUGCCCGGGAUGGGGACAGCCGCGAGCCCUGCAAACACAUGUGCUGGGUAGCGGCUUCCUGGCCACCAUUGGCGCUGAGCCGGGAAGAGUUGCCCUGUCUGGAGCCGCCCGACGGCGCCUCCUCCUCCCCACCAGCAUCUUCUCCGGCACCGUGUGCUCCGACCUCCAUGCAGGAAGCAGGACACACUGGGACUGUGCCUUCCAGAAGAGAGGGACGUGACAGGCCUGUAUGGGGCAGGCUCUCCCCACACCCACGUCGGGACACGAAAAUGUCAGGGCCCCAAGAUGGGCUCGGGCUCCUCGGGCUGCUCCUUCCUGCGCCUCUCCACACAGACUGUCAUGUGCCAUUAUCCCUACCCCCCUGGGACUCUGUCCCCCCGAGCUGUCGUGCCCAGGAAGGAGUCUGGUGGGAUUUUGUCACUGGGCAGAUUAAGCCUUAAAAAUAGCACUGUAAUCAGGAAGCAGCAUCAGGUUUGCUUUUGAGACCUGCAGGGGGGCAGGCUGUCCCCAAGCCCCUAGGAAGGGGCAGUGGGGAGCCCACAGGCCCUGGCUGCGUGCAUACCCCAGCUCCGCAGCCCAGGCUCUGCCGCCCAAAGCUUGCUCCGGAGCUCAGUCUCACCCGUUGUCUGCGAGAUCAGCCCUUACUGAUGGUAACAUGGAGAGCCUCCGGCUUGGGUGGCAUUUCAAGGGCCUCUAGAGCCCCACGUCCCCCAGGUCGGGUGGCUGAUGUCAGAAAGGUCGCUCUUGCUGGGACUGACCUUGCCCAUUGGAGCCCUUCUGAGGUCACACCUCGGGGAGCAUGACAUUCUCGUUGGGGAAACUCGGCCUCCGCUCUGUGGUCAGGAAGCUUCUGACUCCAGCACCAGCUAGGCAUAUGGCAGAAGUGCUCUGCCUCGCGCCCCCGCCCCGGGUGGGUGAGGGUCUCCCCAGCCCCCCCGAGUCACCGGGGCCUGCCCAGCUAGGUACUGUUCACACGGUAGGUCAAGAAAAAUUCAGCUGGGACGCUUGCUUGUGUAGUUUUUCUUCUUCGUUUGGUCUGUGGGCUGCCUCGCCGAUUCUCUUUUCUCUUUCUCUCCCACUGGCCUGAUUGGAACUUGACUGAAUUCGUUGCUGACCCUGGCUUGUGUUGUCCAUAGGGUCUGCUCCCUGGUGACCAGACCACCCUUCACGGGGUGCCAGGGUGCCGGGCUCGGAGCUAAGGUCUGUAGGGGCCGGCGAGU
rnacentral:lncRNA from 1 species